AUACUUACCUGGCAGAGGAGAUACCAUGAUCAUGAAGGUGGUUUCCCCCAGGGCAAGGCUCAUUCAUUGCACUCUGGAUAUGCUGAUCCCUGUGAUUUCAAGGAAAUGUGGGUAACUCGACUGCAUAAUUUGGGGUAGUGGGGGACUGCAUUUGCGCUCUCCCCUA